UCAACUUGUGAACAUUGACUCCAUCUUGUGCUGUCACCAUGUCUCAUCCUCCAUUUUGUCAUCUUCUGUAAAAUACCUGAUUUCUAGGAAAGUGACCAAAAAUCACUUUUCCCCCUCCUACGCUCCGAAACUCAUUCAGCUCCUUCCUGACUUGGAAAGUCUCUAAUCUAUCUUCCAAUGAGAAAUCAGAGAAGAGUGAUCAAAGAUUACCCUGACUCUGUGCCCUGAAGCAAGAAAGAAGGAACCAAUGAAAAAUUGAGGAAAGGAAAUGGCAAAGAGUAGGAGGGACAAGGCAGGAAGCAAAAAAAAUUUGUGACAGCUAUUCAGUUCCACAAAUGUUUUGUAGGGGCUACAUUGUGUCAAGUACUGUUCUGGGGGUGUGAAUAAAUAGACAAAAAAUAAAAAAUAAAAAAAUAAA